rnacentral:rRNA from 1 species
AGUGAACGCUGGCGGUAGGCCUAACACAUGCAAGUCGAACGGCAGCACAGUAAGAGCUUGCUCUUACGGGUGGCGAGUGGCGGACGGGUGAGGAAUACAUCGGAAUCUACUUUUUCGUGGGGGAUAACGUAGGGAAACUUACGCUAAUACCGCAUACGACCUACGGGUGAAGGCAGGGGAUCUUCGGACCUUUCGCGAUUGAAUGAGCCGAUGUCGGAUUAGCUAGUUGGCGGGGUAAAGGCCCACCAAGGCGACGAUCCGUAGCUGGUCUGAGAGCGUGAUCAGCCAGACGGGAUGUGAGACAGGGCCCAGACUCCUACGGGAGGAAGCAGUGGGGAAUAUUAGACGAUGGGGGCGAGCCUGAUACAGGCAUACCGCGUGGGGGAAGAAGGCCUUAGGGUUGGAAAGCCAUUUUGUUGGGAAAGAAAAGCAGCAGGUUAAUACCCCGCUGUUCUGACGGUACCCAAAGAAUAAGCACCGGCUAACUUCGUG